UUGAACGCUGGCGGCAUGCCUUACACAUGCAAGUCGAACGGCAGCACGGGUGCUUGCACCUGGUGGCGAGUGGCGAACGGGUGAGUAAUACAUCGGAACAUGUCCUGUAGUGGGGGAUAGCCCGGCGAAAGCCGGAUUAAUACCGCAUACGAUCUACGGAUGAAAGCGGGGGACCUUCGGGCCUCGCGCUAUAGGGUUGGCCGAUGGCUGAUUAGCUAGUUGGUGGGGUAAAGGCCUACCAAGGCGACGAUCAGUAGCUGGUCUGAGAGGACGACCAGCCACACUGGGACUGAGAUACGGCCCAGACUCCUACGGGAGGCAGCAGUGGGGAAUUUUGGACAAUGGGCGAAAGCCUGAUCCAGCAAUGCCGCGUGUGUGAAGAAGGCCUUCGGGUUGUAAAGCACUUUUGUCCGGAAAGAAAUCCUUGGCUCUAAUACAGUCGGGGGAUGACGGUACCGGAAGAAUAAGCACCGGCUAACUACGUGCCAGCAGCCGCGGUAAUACGUAGGGUGCGAGCGUUAAUCGGAAUUACUGGGCGUAAAGCGUGCGCAGGCGGUUUGCUAAGACCGAUGUGAAAUCCCCGGGCUCAACCUGGGAACUGCAUUGGUGACUGGCAGGCUAGAGUAUGGCAGAGGGGGGGUAGAAUUCCACGUGUAGCAGUGAAAUGCGUAGAGAUGUGGAGGAAUACCGAUGGCGAAGGCAGCCCCCUGGGCCAAUACUGACGCUCAUGCACGAAAGCGUGGGGAGCAAACAGGAUUAGAUACCCUGGUAGUCCACGCCCUAAACGAUGUCAACUAGUUGUUGGGGAUUCAUUUCCUUAGUAACGUAGCUAACGCGUGAAGUUGACCGCCUGGGGAGUACGGUCGCAAGAUUAAAACUCAAAGGAAUUGACGGGGACCCGCACAAGCGGUGGAUGAUGUGGAUUAAUUCGAUGCAACGCGAAAAACCUUACCUACCCUUGACAUGGUCGGAAUCCCGCUGAGAGGUGGGAGUGCUCGAAAGAGAACCGGCGCACAGGUGCUGCAUGGCUGUCGUCAGCUCGUGUCGUGAGAUGUUGGGUUAAGUCCCGCAACGAGCGCAACCCUUGUCCUUAGUUGCUACGCAAGAGCACUCUAAGGAGACUGCCGGUGACAAACCGGAGGAAGGUGGGGAUGACGUCAAGUCCUCAUGGCCCUUAUGGGUAGGGCUUCACACGUCAUACAAUGGUCGGAACAGAGGGUUGCCAACCCGCGAGGGGGAGCUAAUCCCAGAAAACCGAUCGUAGUCCGGAUUGCACUCUGCAACUCGAGUGCAUGAAGCUGGAAUCGCUAGUAAUCGCGGAUCAGCAUGCCGCGGUGAAUACGUUCCCGGGUCUUGUACUCACCGCCC
rnacentral:rRNA from 1 species